rnacentral:rRNA from 1 species
AGUGAACGCUGGCGGUAGGCCUAACACAUGCAAGUCGAACGGCAGCACAGGAGAGCUUGCUCUCUGGGUGGCGAGUGGCGGACGGGUGAGGAAUACAUCGGAAUCUACUCUGUCGUGAGGGAUAACGUAGGGAAACUUACGCUAAUACCGCAUACGACCUACGGGUGAAAGCAGGGGACCUUUGGCCUUGCGCGAUUGAAUGAGCCGAUGUCGGAUUAGCUAGUUGGCGGGGGAAAGGCCCACCAAGGCGACGAUCCGUAGCGGGUCUGAGAGAAUGAACAGCCACACUGGAACUGAGACACGGUCCAGACUCCUACGGGAGGCAGCAGUGGGGAAUAUUGGACAAUGGGCGCAAGCCUGAUCCAGCCAUACCGCGUGGGUGAAGAAGGCCUUCGGGUUGUAAAGCCCUUUUGUUGGGAAAGAAAUCCAGCCGGCUAAUACCCGGUUGGGAUGACGGUACCCAAAGAAUAAGCACCGGCUAACUUCGUGCCAGCAGCCGCCGUAA